GACGAACGCUGGCGGCAUGCCUAACACAUGCAAGUCGAACGAUAAGUUCGGGUCUAGUGGACACCGGGUGCGUACCGCGUGGUAACCCGCGAUUAAGUUCGGCAUAACUCAGGGAAAUUUGUACUAAACCCGGACGAUGACUUCAGACCAACGCUUUCUCGCCUUUAGAUGGGCCCGCGUUGGAUUGGCUGGUUGGUGGGGUACAGGCCUGCAAAGGCGACGAUCCAUAGCUGGUCUGUGAGGCUGAUCAGCCACACUGGGACGGAGACCCGGCCCAGACGCCUACGGGAGGCAGCAGAUGUUAAUAUUGGACAGUGGGCGAAAGCCUGAACCAGCGAGGCCGCGAGAGUGAUGAAGGGCUUAGGGUUCGAAAGCACUUGUAACCGAGAUGAUUAUGACGGUAUCUGGAGAAUAAGCACCGGCUAACUCCGUG
rnacentral:rRNA from 1 species